rnacentral:lncRNA from 1 species
CCUAUGGGCACAAAAAGCAGGAACGAGUAGCGGUGGCUGAAGAACGAGCAGGAGCUUGAAUUUCAGUUUUCUUAUGAGGAAUUUUCCAGAAAAGAUAUCUUCACUGUGAAAUAACUAAAUAAAUGCCCACUCAGUACACUUUCCCUGCACUCCAAACACAGAGCUGAGACUUCCACCUAAUGUAGAAAGCUAGCACGAGCCGGCGCUGACAGAUGGAAGACUUGAGAUGUUACAAGAUUAUAUAUGGAAACACAAAAGGAGUGGAGUUGCUGGGUCAUAUGGCAAUUCAUUUGAGGAACUGAGAAGCUUAUUCCAUGGAGGCUGAACUGUUUUAUAUUCCCACCAGCAACGUGUAAGGUUCCAGUUUAUCUACAUCAUCACCAACACUUGCUAUUUUCCAUUUCAUUAAUGAUAGCCAUCCUAGUGGAUUUGAAGUGGUACCUUAUUAUCGUGGUUUUGAUUGCAUUCUCUAUUGACUAAUGAUAUCGAGCAUCUUUUCAUGUAUUUUUUGGUCAUUUGGUCAUUUUUCUUUUUUAAUUUUAAAAUUUUGAGACAGGCUCUCACUAUGUUGCCCAGGUGGUCUCAAACUCCUGGGUUCCAGCGAUGCUCAUGCCUCAGUCUCCCAAAGGGGUGGGAUUACAGGUGUGAGCCACUUUGCCCAGCCCAUUUGUAUAUCUCCUUUGGAGAAUAUCUAGGUUCUUUUGAAGGUAGCUGCAUAUAAACUAGCCAAAUUAACAGACUGUGGUUUUUAGAUGGCUUUCCAUAUCUACAAGAACUAUUUAGUUCUCAAAACUGGGAAGAAAUGUUUCAGAGGCAUCAUUAAUUCAUAAUCUAAAAAUUUAUCUUGGGUUUCCUUUUUUCCCCCAGAUUCUGUAUCCUCCAUAGUCCUAUUCAUGACAUGGGUCGUUCAUCUCUGUAUUCUAAACCCUCAAUGAACUGUAGACAGUAAUAAAUAUUUAUUGGAUGAAUGGUCUCUCAUCAGCCACCUUUUCUUUUUUUUUUUUUGAGACAGAGUCUCACUCUGUCACUCAGGCUGGAGUGCAGUGGCGCGAUCUCGGUUCACUGCAACCUCUGCCUCCCGGGUUCAAGUGAUUCUCCCACCUGAGCCUCCCGAGUAGCUGGGAUUACAGGUGCACGCCACCUUGUCUGGCUAAUUUUUGUAUUUUUAGUAGAGACAGGGUUUCACCGUGUUGGUCAGGCUGGUCUCAAACGCCUGACCUCAGGUGAUCUGCCCGACUUGGCCUCCCAAAGUGCUGGGAUUACAGGUGUGAGCCACCGCACCUGGCCUCCAGCCUCUUUUCUUUUUUUUUUUUGAGACAAGUCUAACUCUGUCACCCAGGCUGGAGAGCAGCGGCAUGAUCAUGGCUCACUGCUGCCUCAACCUCAGAGGCUCAAGUCAUUGUCCCCACCUCAGCCUCCCUAGUAGACUGGACUACAGGCAUGUGCCACCACACCCAGCUAAUUUUUCAUCAGCCACCUUUUCUAACCAUCUGUCUGCACUGACUUCCCAGGUUCUGCAUCAUUAUUGGUUUACUGAGACAAUGCACUUCACCCGUCCUUCAAUCCCAAAGUAGCACAGAAUAUCAGGAGUUCUUUGAGCCCCUAAGUGCCCUACUUUCCCAGGGUCAGGGGACCCUGACAAGCAAGGUCCCCACAUCUUUCUGUGGUUGGAUAGGGAUAUAAAAUUUCUCACACAUGUUAAAUCAAGAUACUUUGGCCAGGCACGGUGGCUCACACCUGUAAUCCCAGCACUUUGGGAGGCUGAGGUGUACAGAUCACUUGAGGUCAGGAGUUUGAGACAAGCCUGGUCAACAUGGUGAAACUCCCAUCUCUACUAAAAAAAAAAAAACUUUGGGAGGCCGAGGUGGGUGGAUCAUGAGGUCAGGAGUUUGAGACCAGCCUGGCCAACAUGGUGAAACCCCGUCUCUACUAAAAAUGCAAAAAUUAGGUGGGUGUGGUGGCACACAGCAGUAGUCCCAGCUACUCAGGAGGCUGAGGCAGGAGAAUUGCUUGAACCUGGGAGGCAGAGGUUACAGUGAGCUGAGAUCAUGCCACCGCACUCCAACCAGGGCAACAGAUCAAGACUCCAUCUUGGGGAAAAAAAAAAAAAUUAGCCAGGCUUGGUGGUGGAUGCCUGUAUUCCCAGCUUCUUGGGAGACUGAAGCAGGAGGAUCGCUUGAACCCAGGAGGCAGAGGUUGCAGUGAGUUGAGAUUGUGCCACUGUACUCCAGCCUGGGCAACAGAAACAAUACUCCGUCUCAAAAAAAAAAAAAAAAAAAAAAAAUCAAGACACCAAACACACACAACUAAUUAGCUCUAUAAAUUGAAUUAAAAGAAAAUCCAUACUGACUUGCUUUCCCAUCUGUCCAUAUUUGUCUAUCCAAAUGAUUAAGGGCUAGAGAAAAUACAGAUGAUGAUGGCUGAGAUGGGAUAAAACUAUAAAUUGACUUGGUUCCAUUUACCUCCCAGAAUCAGCAUACAGUGACAAAGUAGAGAGAAAAGGUCUGGGCACCACAAACUUGUACUUGUGCUAGAAAUGUAGGUGCCUUUUCAUUUGCCCAGCAGGGCUAGUUUAACAGCCAGGGUAUCUUCUGGGACUCUUCCCCAAAUCUUGCUCUACCGCUGACUAGCUAUGUGAUCUUGGGCAAGUUUCUCAACCUUUCUGUGCCUUUCUUCCUUUACUUAUAAAUAAGGAUAACAGAAUUUGCUUCAUAGAGUUAGUCUGAGGAUUCAGUAAGUAGAUACGUGUAAUCUUAGAACAGUGUCUGGCACACAGUAAAACUCUAUCUUUGCUAUUGUUGUUUUUGUUAUAACUGUAUAGAUGUUAGCUAUUAUUACUAUCCACAAGAAUGGGACAUAUCAAUUAUAUAUAUUACUGGCCUAGUAAUUAUAUAUACUUAGAAUCCCUGAUCAAUAAAAUAAAUUGUAAUAGAAAUUUUUAUUCCUCAAACACAUUUUUGUUCCUCAAACACAUUUUUAAAUAAACAUGUCUUGGGAAAGCCAAAGAAAAAAAAAUCAUACCUAUAUCCAAAUAUGUUAUAUUAAAACCUUGUUCCUUGGCAAUUUCACUAAGCAGCUGGAUGUAAUCUGUAUUUGGAAUACUAAGGAGGCUUCUUUUCAGUAAGUUGAUCUUUUCACCAGGAGAAUUCCUCAAGGAAUGCCAAGUACAUCCUAAAGAAUGUCCUACUACAUUUGUCUGAAAAACAGAGAUGAAGAUUUAGACUCUUGACUAGGACUGGGUUCCAACACCCGUACCAGUAUCAUUAAAAGUACUUAUUAAGCACUCACAUUUAAUAUGUUAUAAAGCAUGUUUAAAUGGAUAACAUUUGGUUAAUUUUCCAAUUUAAACAAGACAACAUUAAAAAGUACACAUUUAACAAUACUAUAUGUUUUUAAGAAGCACUUGCAAUAAUAUACUGAAAGCAUUUUGUAUUUUGUAUAGUACAAAUGUUUCUCAGUCAAGUUUUCUGAUGGUCACAUUAAGAGGUACAAGAUAUCUGGAAGCACCAUAAGUAAAUCCACAAAUAAUUAAAUCUGCCUAAUGGAGCAAUUUGCAGAUUAAAAUAUAGAACAAUUUUCAUAUCUUUGGUUUUUUUUGUAUUAAAUACCAAUCACUAUAACUGACAGCUAUCAAACAGGAAAAAAAACAGAAAAAAAAACUAAAAAAAACAUGAAAUGUGCGCGUUGGGUUUGAGGAACAAGUCAUUCAAAUAAAUGACAGGAUGUCAAAAAGUUCUUAUCAGACUUCUAUCCCAGAACCCAACUGAGUAUUUUUUUCCUUUUUCUUUCUGCUUUUCCUCUUUCCUUUAUCCUCCCCUAUAUCCUUCCCUUUUCAUCUCUGUCCUUAGAAUGCCUUAUAUUUCCAUAUUAGUUUAUGGUUCUCAAAUUGCUUUCAUAUGCCAUUAAUAAAAACAACUACUUUCUGAAGUAAGUAGGGUUACUACUCUUAAUAUUGUUUUAUUAAUGAGCACGACAGAGGGGAGGCAAUUUCCAAAAGAUUUUAGAGAUGGCAUGAUAUGGAAUUAAGUAAUUUAUUAGAUUUACCAAAUAAAAAUUUACAUUAUAGAAACUUUAAAAUACUGUUUUUAAAUAAAGAACACUAUUUACAUGGUUAAAAAUAUACAUGCACUAAGAACAAAUAUAUAAUGAAGAGUACAGUCUCUUUUCCUUACCACCCAUUCCCUGAAGACCUCUGUUCUAUUUCUUAGACAUACUGUUAAACAUUUUUCAGUAUCUUCCCAUAAAUGUUCUAUGCAUAUGCAAGCACACACAAUCUUUUAAAGCAAAUGAUAACUUACUCCUCUACAUCUUGUUCAUUUUUCUUUUAUCAGUGCACAUAUAUGCACUGUAUUUACCUUACGGAUCUCCAACUGUGAGCUUUAGGUUGUUUCUAGUUUCUUGCUUUUACUAGCAAUAAACACUCUUUUGCACUUGAAUGAGUUUCUCUGUAGAAUUAUUUCUAGAAGUGGAACUGCUAAGUCAAAGAACAUGUACACUUUUAAUUUUGAUAAAUACUUCCAAACUGAUUUCUGAACCAAUUUAUACUCCUACCAACUGUCUUGGAGGGGGCUUGUUUUCUCAUACCCUCACUAAUACCAGCUAUUAUCAAAUUUUGUAGUUUUUGCCAAUCUAAAAGGUGAAAAUAUUUUAUCUUGCAUGAAUAAAGUUGAAUAUUUUUUCUUUUUUUCCCUUAAUCGUUUGCAUUUCUUCUACUGGGUUGUCUUUUUAACUGAUGCAUAAGAGCUUUUUAAAUUUUCUCUUUUUUAAGAGUUAGGAUCUUGCUGUGUGGCUUAACUCUCAAACUCUUGGGCUCUAGCAGUCCUCCCACCUUAGCCUCCCGAGUAGCUGGGACUACAGGCAUGUGCUG